rnacentral:rRNA from 1 species
AUUGAACGCUGGCGGCAGGCCUAACACAUGCAAGUCGAGCGGCAGCGGGAAAGUAGCUUGCUACUUUUGCCGGCGAGUGGCGGACGGGUGAGUAAUGCCUGGGGAUCUGCCCAGUCGAGGGGGACAACUACUGGAAACGGUAGCUAAUACCGCAUACGCCCUACGGGGGAAAGCAGGGGACCUUCGGGCCUUGCGCGAUAGGAUGAACCCAGGGGGGAUUAGCUAGUUGGUGGGGUAAUGGCUCACCAAGGCGACGAUCCCUAGCUGGUCUGAGAGGAUGAUCAGCCACACUGGAACUGAGACACGGUCCAGACUCCUACGGGAGGCAGCAGUGGGGAAUAUUGCACAAUGGGGGAAACCCUGAUGCAGCCAUGCCGCGUGUGUGAAGAAGGCCUUCGGGUUGUAAAGCACUUUCAGCGAGGAGGAAAGGUUGGUAGCUAAUAACUGCCAGCUGUGACGUUACUCGCAGAAGAAGCACCGGCUAACUCCGUGCCAGCCGCCGCAGUAAUAC